rnacentral:rRNA from 1 species
UGGGGAAUCUUGGACAAUGGGGGCUACCCUGAUCCAGCCAUGCCGCGUGAUCGAUGAAGGCCUUAGGGUUGUAAAGGUCUUUCAGCUGGGAAGAUAAUGACGGUACCAGCAGAAGAAGCCCCGGCUAACUCCGUGCCAGCAGCCGCGGUAAUACGGAGGGGGCUAGCGUUGUUCGGAAUUACUGGGCGUAAAGCGCACGUAGGCGGAUAGUUAAGUUAGAGGGGAAAGCCCGGGGCUCAACCCCGGAACUGCCUUUGAUACUGGCUGUCUAGAGAUCGAGAGAGGCGGGUGGAAUUCCGAGUGUAGAGGUGAAAUUCGUAGAUAUUCGGAGGAACACCAGUGGCGAAGGCGGCUCGCUGGCUCGAUACUGACGCUGAGGUGCGAAAGCGUGGGGAGCAAACA